GCCUCGACCCGAGAACUAGUUUCAAAGCGGGGGCCGAGGGGUCCUGCGGCUCCUCGUCCCCUUUAUCUCGGGGGGGUUGCGUUGCGCUCGCGCCGACCCUUCCGGGCGUACAAACGAACACCGGCGCGAAUUGCGAAGGAAAUUGAACGAGAGAGCGCGUCCCCGUCGCCCCGGAAACGGUGUGCGCGGGCGGCGUCGUCAUCUUCAAAUAUGUCAWAACGACUCUCGGCAACGGAUAUCUCGGCUCUCGCAUCGAUGAAGAACGUAGCGAAAUGCGAUACUUGGUGUGAAUUGCAGAAUCCCGUGAACCAUCGAGUCUUUGAACGCAAGUUGCGCCCGAAGCCAUUAGGCCGAGGGCACGCCUGCCUGGGCGUCACACGUCGUUGCCCCCCCAUCAACUCCUUCGGGAUUGCGGGGGGCGGAUGAUGGCCUCCCGUGCGCCUCGCCGCGCGUUGGCAUAAAUACCAAGUCCUCGGCGACGCACGCCACGACAAUCGGUGGUUGCGAGACCUCGGUUGCCCGUCGUGUGCGUUCGUCGCGCAUCGAGGGCUCGAAAAAAUGCUCGGCUCCGGCUCGGCUUUCAACGCGACCCCAGGUCAGCGGGGUUACCCGCUG
rnacentral:rRNA from 1 species